rnacentral:rRNA from 1 species
GUGGGGAAUAUUGCACAAUGGGCGAAAGCCUGAUGCAGCGACGCCGCGUGAGCGAAGAAGUAUUUCGGUAUGUAAAGCUCUAUCAGCAGGGAAGAUAAUGACGGUACCUGACUAAGAAGCACCGGCUAAAUACGUGCCAGCAGCCGCGGUAAUACGUAUGGUGUAAGCGUUAUCCGGAUUUACUGGGUGUAAAGGGAGUGUAGGCGGUGCGGCAAGUCUGAUGUGAAAGCCCGGGGAUCAACCCCGGUACUGCAUUGGAAACUGUCGUACUAAAGUGUCGAAGGGAUAAACGGAAUUCCUAGUGUAGCGGUGAAAUGCGUAGAUAUUAGGAGGAACACCAGUGGCGAAGGCAGCUUACUAGACGAUAACUGACGCUGAGGCUCGAAAGCGUGGGGAGCAAACAGGAUUAGAUACCCGUGUAGUCC